UUUUUACAAUUUGAUACAGAAAUUACAGAGAGAGCACCAGAGGGCGAAGGAGAAGGAGGUGGAAAGUUGGAAACUUUGGAGUCGAUCCGAAUGGUGAAAGGUGUCCCACUGUAGAAAAGAAAAUGCGUAGAAGAUAUUAUUAAAAAUACAAACACAGAGAGGAAGAGGAGGAAUAGCCGUAGUCCUUCCUUGUUGGUAUUCAUGAGAAAAGCUUGAGAGAGAGAGAGAGAGGGACGCAGCUGCUGCGACUCCGUCGGACGCCUUGGUACUAGCUGAGAGAUAUUAUUAGUAGAGGUAUAGAUUGUUCGACUCCAUAUCGGGUGUAUAUUGGUUGGUCUAAAUGGAACCGUUGGGUGAAGAGCAAAUAGAUUAUGAAGAUGAGGAAUAUGGAGGGGCUCAUAAGCUUCAGUAUCAGGGAAGUGGAGCCAUCUCCGCGCUUGCAGAUGAAGAACUGAUGGUCGAAGAUGAUGAGUUCGAUGAUCUCUAUAAUGAUGUUAAUGUUGGAGAGGGUUUCAUGCAGAUGCACCGGUCUGAGGCACCACUCCCAACUGGUGGUGUGGGCAAUGGAGGACUCCAAGCACAGAAAACUGAUGUUCCUGAACCAAGAGUUCAAUCUGGUGUCUCUCAGGACCUGAAAAUUCCUGGGGUUUCAGUUCAAGGGAAGUAUUCUGGUGCUGGGGCCCAGUUUCCAGAACAGAAUCAAGCACCAGUGGCGAAGGAGCCAGAACUGGGAUCCACAGGUUAUGCGAGUGGGGCGUCUGGAUCACAGAAGGGGAGGGUUAUGGACAUGACUCAUGAUACUCAAGUCAGACAUAUGGCGUUUCAGGGGUCAACAACUAUGCCCCCAAAUGUCGGUGUUGAUUCUUCUGAUAUUACUGGAAAAGGUAAUAGUGAGUUUGUUCCGUCUCUGAAUCCUGCCAGUGCUGGCCCUCCAGGAGCUACACAGAUACCGACCAAUCAAAUGAGUAUCAAGAUAAAUGCUAAUCGUCCAAUGGUCAAUGAAAACCAAAUCCGACCACCAAUUGAGAAUGGUUCAGCCACGCUGUUUGUUGGAGAACUACAUUGGUGGACAACUGAUGCUGAGAUUGAAAGUGUUAUAUCUCAGUAUGGGAGGGUCAAGGAAAUUAAGUUUUUUGACGAGAGGGCCAGUGGUAAAUCCAAGGGUUAUUGUCAGGUUGAGUUUCAUGAUCAAGCUGCUGCCACGGCAUGCAAAGAAGGGAUGGAUGGUUAUGUUUUCAAUGGAAGAGCUUGUGUUGUGGCUUUUGCUUCCCCGCAAACCUUGAAACAGAUGGGAGCUUCUUAUUUGAGCAAAUCCCAAGGUCAGGCUCAGGCUCAGCAACCAGGAAGAAGGCCCAUGAAUGAUGGUGGUGGGAGGGGGGGAGGUGUGAAUUUUCAAGCUGGAGACCCGGGAGGUAGGAAUUUUGGAAGGGGCGGAUGGGGACGAGGUGGACAGGGAGUAAGAGGUCCUGGAGGUGGAGGACCAAUGAGGGGAAGAGGAGGGGCCAUGGGUGCGAAGAACAUGGUUGGGAAUCCUGCUGGUGUUGGAACUGGUACUAAUGGAGGUGGCUAUGGACAGGGCCUUGGAGGUCCUGGAUUUGGUGGUCCUGUAGGAAUGAUGAAUCCACAGGGUAUGAUGGGUUCUGGAUUUGAUCCAACAUAUAUGGGUCGAGGAGGCGGUUAUGGAGGGUUUCCAGGUCCUGCUUUUCCUGGAAUGCUUCCUCAAUUUCCUGGUGUUAAUACAAUGGGACUUGCCGGGGUGGCUCCUCAUGUAAACCCAGCUUUCUUUGCCAGGGGAAUGGCAACUAAUGGGAUGGGGAUGAUGGGUUCUUCUGGAAUGGAGGGACACCAUGCAGGGAUGUGGAAUGACCCAAGCAUGGGGGCCUGGGGAGGAGAAGAACACGGUCGAAGAACUAGGGAGUCAAGUUAUGGUGGUGAUGAUAAUGCUUCUGAGUAUGGAUAUGGUGACACAAAUAAUGAGAAAGGACCAAGGUCAAGUGCUGCCUCGAGGGAAAGAGAAAGGGGAUCUGAGCGUGACUGGUCAGGAAACUCUGAGAGGAGGCAUCGUGAUGAUAGGGAACAAGACUAUGAAAGGUCUGAAAGGGGGGAGCACAGGGAGCAUCGGUACAAGGAAGAAAAAGAUAGUUAUCGAGACCAUCGGCAGAGAGAUCGUGAUGGGGGUUAUGAGGAUGACUGGGACAGAGGUCAGUCUUCUUCAAGACCUCGUAGCAGGUCCAAAGCUGUGCCAGAGGAUGAUCAUCGGUCUCGAUCAAGGGAUGUUGAUUAUAAGAGGAGACGGUUGCCAUCUGAGUGACAGAGUUAGAUCAUUGCCUUCUACGGCAGGUCUUUGAGACUGCAGAAUAUAAAUUCUGACUAUUACUAUAUGUAGCUUUUGAUACGUACAGUGAAUCUGCAUUCUUCUUCUGGGCUUCCACGGGCCUACCGCCUACCACUUCUUGAAGGAGAAGUAAGUUCUACUGGUGUGCAUAGGAGGGAAGGGGAGUAGAGUGGGCAACUCCUUCAUUUCAUGAUUGAAUCAGCCUGUGCUGGUCACAUGGUGGAAGAUGUGUUACAUGGAUGCGUUGCCAACUGUGCAAAAGAAAAGAGUGUCCCCGAACUAGUGAAAUAUUUAAGGAGACUUGUCAUUGUGCAUGUAACAACUUAAUGUCUUUGUGUAAUUGUAGACUUCAUGUAUUAGGUCCACAUGUAAUCCCCCCUUCUUUUGUUUCUAUGCCUGUAUUAGGAUUUAGGCUUAGCAACGAGCUUGUAAAAGUCAUGUACAAUGUGCUUAGUUGUACAUAUUCAGCGUGUUGUAAUUGUCGUUGCCUGCUCUGUGCGCUAUAGGGAGUUAGGAUUGAGCCAUUGAUACGCUGUAACAAGAAGCCACCGUGCUAAAUUGUAAUUAGUCAUAGUGAGAUUUGUACAAACCAGUUUCUGCUGAAGCCACUUCCUGUAAAGAAUCUUACUUCCUGUGUAUAAUAUGUAACUGUGAGUUGUAUUUGGGUUUAGGGGUUGUGAGUAGCAGCUGCGUUGUAAAUGGGUUGGGACGGAAACAGUUGUUUAGACUAGGGUUUGUUUUUCUCUUCAGGGAGACAUAUUCUGUGCCAUUUGUAUACAAAUUUUUGGACGUAGUUUUGUACUUCUUUUCAGAGAUUUCGUGUUGUCGAUUUCUCAACAAUGUAUCAUUUAGUCAGGUUGUCUGAAAUGGUUGUUUAGACAAGUUGUAUUGUUUCUCAA